rnacentral:rRNA from 1 species
UACAGAGACCUCAAGCGUUAUCCGGAUUUAUUGGGCGUAAAGCGUCCGCAGGUUCCUUGGUAAGUCCUUGGUCAAAACUCAGAGCUCAACUCUGAACCGGCUGAGGAUACUGUCGAGGUAGAGAAUGGGAGAGGCAAGCGGAAUUCUUGGUGUAGCAGUAAAAUGCGUUGAUAUCAAGAAGAACACCAAAUGCGAAGGCAGCUUGCUGGAACAUUUCUGACACUCAUGGACGAAAGCGUGGGGAGCAGACAGG